AUGAAACACAACAAAAUCUGCACAAGUAGUGCCAAGAAAACUCAGAUCAAAUGUAGCACUAAAAAGAACUGUCAAAAAACCUGCUUAAAAAGCCAAAAGAGCAUACCACAACUCUGCUGCUGCCCUGCUACCAAUCAAGCAGAUCAGUCCAGAAAUUACACCAAAAUAACAUACACCAUAAAAUCAGUGCAUCAUAAUUGUUCAAGUUCUAUAGCCCCCCCUCAAAUCCCAUAUAUCUUCCUCUAUAAAAAAGAGACUUGA